GCAUGGAUGACCAGUUUCAUUUUUGAAACCCAAAGUAAUCAGCUGAAGAUAGGGUUAGGUUUAACCCUAUCCUGCCGGAGCAAUCUACUUUCAGGACUUAAAUCCUGAAUGCAAUCUCAUUUCCGGGUUGUCUUACGGCAAUAAGAAUUUGUGGGACAAUCAAAUCAGUCUUUCUGAGCCUUGUCAUUGGAUAAAGCUAUGCACUAGGAACAAAACAAAUUGUAUCAAAAACGUCUACCAGCGCGUAUUUUGAAGUGGAAGAGGACAAGAUGGAGAGCAGGCUUAUACUUGACAGUUGUUUGAAUCUCAUACUGACUACCAGCUUAAGCACACAGGAAUCACACACAGACCAAUCGCUCUGAGCAGGCUUCCCUUGCGCGCCCCGAUCUCAGCCCUCCCUGCAAAUCGGGUCUUGGUCUUCCAACCCGACCAACUCCUGCAAAGUAGGACCUCGCUUAUCGGGGUGUCUCAG